UGGGCGUCCCUCAGGUCUAUUUCUAAUCCCCCCAGCAGCUGCCACUGCGGCUACCGGCCCCGCCCGCCCUUCCUUUGCCAUUUAGGAAUGUGGAUCCUUGUGCCUGGAAGUGAGCCGACUCCCCUGGAAGGGCGUGGCGCCCGGCUGCCGCCAGGGGGUGAGCGGGCGCCUGGACAGCUCCCUCAGCUCCACGCUCCUCGGACCCACCGCCCAGCCCUGGACCCUGUGGGACAUCAGCUUUCCUCAUCACGGCCUUGCCAGGUCACAGCGGCCUGGAGACGUCCAGGGAGGAGGCCCCCAGGGGCGGCUGAGGAGGAUCCGCCUCUCCUUCCCUCUGUGCAGUACCAGAAAAACCACCACCACCACAGCAAAAGCAAAACAAAACAGAAAAACAAGGUUGAACCAACCCCAAACCCAGCCAGACCAUCCCCCAGGCUGCUCCGUCGGAGGGCGUGAGGAACGAAGCUUGGGGCCCUGGCCGGCUGAGACCUCAGGAGGGGACGAAGGCCACCCAGCACUGGGCUCUGUGUGGUCAGUGUCAUGGAGCAUUCCUGAAGUGACCCAAGUGUGGAGGGAGCAGGCAGAGUGUUCAGAAGUGCAGGCCAGAGGUCCGGAGGCCCCAGGAGGCGGAGCACUGCUAGCAAGGCGGAGAGUGCCCGGCGGACUCAGGGAAGCAGCGCCCUCUUAGCACUGGGCAGCCCAGGAGGGGCACAAGGGCGCUGAGCCCGCUGGGGAGAUGCCAGGCAGGGCUGAAAGCAAGGCCCCUCUGCGCCUGCCCCCUCUGUGCCUGCCCCCUCUUGGUGGCCUCGGCUGGGCCCAGGCGCUCUGCGGAUCCCGCCUCCGCCUGGGCCCACCUGGCUGUGGUGUCACGUUGGCCCCACAGCUGGUGAUGGUCACAUUGUUCCCUUACUUACUUUUGUCGGGGUAGAAUCAUCUCUGGAGAGUUCUCCAUGGUCUUCUCAUCACAGUCAUAUUUUAGUACCGAUUUUUAAAAAACUUGAUGAAUUGCUAAAAGUACAGCUUUUAAAAACAAGUUUUCUUUUUGGGAAUUUUCUCGAAAUGAAACCUAUAUAAAGCCAGAAAUAAACUGCUGCAUUAAAAAACUAACAGAAAGCAGCAGGUCCGGGUCUCACGCUGUCUCUGGGGCGGAAACGGGAGCUUGGCUUAGUUAGUGCUGGGUCCUGAGGCUCAGGGUCUCCCCUGAGGCCGGUGGCUCAGGCCUCCGCUGGACUGGCUCCUUGGCGUGGCGUGUGGCCGGACCUCGGUUUCUCACUGGCUGUUGGCUGGCCCUUGAGAGGGCUGCCGUCACCGCUGCUGGCUUCCCCGGGAGAGAGGAGAGGAUGGGGAAGGGCAGCCGUCUUCGUGAGGAGCUGGCUGCUGUGGUUUGUUUGCUGGAAGCCUGGCGGGAGCAGCCCACACUCUGGAGGAGGCUGAGAGGCCAGGACGGGUCCUUGGGGUGAUUUCAGAUGCCACGCCAUCAAACAUGCCGUUUCACAACACCUAUCGAGGGGGUCCGGGCGGGGCCCACCCUGAGGCUCUGAUAGAGGGGAAAGGCUCCUGGGAGCUGCAGCCAGCGUGACCCCACAGACAGGGGGCUGGUUGCAAAGAAGAGGUUCCAGUUCACCACGGUGUCUUCGCUAUACUUGCUGCUUUCACCAGAAACUGGGUAGCUGAGCAAUUUAUAAACAAGAGACACGGAUGUCUCAGUGCUGGAGGCUGGAGUCCAACAGUGGGGGGUUGAGCGCU